rnacentral:rRNA from 1 species
CUACGGAGGGGGCUAGCGUUGUUCGGAAUUACUGGGCGUAAAGCGCGCGUAGGCGGACCAGUCAGUCAGGGGUGAAAUCCCGGGGCUCAACCCCGGAACUGCCUUUGAUACUGCUGGUCUUGAGUUCGAGAGAGGUGAGUGGAAUUCCGAGUGUAGAGGUGAAAUUCGUAGAUAUUCGGAGGAACACCAGUGGCGAAGGCGGCUCACUGGCUCGAUACUGACGCUGAGGUGCGAAAGCGUGGGUAGCAAACGGGAUUAGAUACCCUAGUAGUCC